AUUCCAGCUCCAAUAGCGUAUAUUAAAGUUGUUGCAGUUAAAAAGCUCGUAGUUGGAUUUCUGGUGGGAGCGACCGGUCCGACGCUUAGCGUGGGUACUUGUGUCGUCUCCGGCCAUCCUUGGGGAGAGUCUGUCUGGCAUUAAGUUGUCGGGCAGAGGAUCCUCAUCGUUUACUGUGAAAAAAUUAGAGUGUUCAAAGCAGGCUUAUGCCGUUGAAUAUAUUAGCAUGGAAUAAUAAGAUAGGACUUUGGUACUAUUUUGUUGGUUUGCGCACCAAAGUAAUGAUUAAUAGGGACAGUUGGGGGUAUUCGUAUUCCGUUGUCAGAGGUGAAAUUCUUGGAUUUACGGAAGACGAACUACUGCGAAAGCAUUUACCAAGGAUGUUUUCAUCA
rnacentral:rRNA from 1 species